rnacentral:lncRNA from 1 species
GAUCGGGCAUAGGGGCCUGCAUGAUGGCAUCAGUGAACGGCAAGAAGUCCGGGGACCGGGGUGGAGGAGGCGGAUUAUGAUUCUGACUGUCUUCUGAUGUAUCCCGGUCGUGUUGUUUUUCUUUGCUGCGUUCGGCAUCAUCGGUCUUCUUCUGUUGUAAUUCUUGUUGUAAAGUUGCAAUAGUUCGGGCUUGUUCUUCUAGCUGCGCUUGCAUUUCUCUUAUCAUCUGAAUUGGAUCUGGAUUCUCCAUGCCUCUUGUGGUCACCAUUGGGAGUCUUGACUUUUCGGGCCCCACGGUGGGCGCCAAAAUGUUUCGGUAUAAAUAUUUUGGGGACCGAAUGAACUGACCUGGAUGAUGUGGCACUCCCGCUUUGUGUUGAUUAAGUAGACUGGUGUACCUUCUUUCGUGAAUUGAACGUCCGCUUUCCUUCAAUCUUC